rnacentral:rRNA from 1 species
UACGUAGGCAGCGAGCGUUGUUCGGAGUUACUGGGCGUAAAGAGUGCGUAGGCGGUUUUCUAAGUUUGGUGUGAAAUCUCCCGGCUUAACUGGGAGGGUGCGCCGAAGACUGGAAGGCUUGAGUAUUGGAGAGGUAAGCGGAAUUCCUGGUGUAGCGGUGAAAUGCGUAGAUAUCAGGAGGAACACCUGCGGUGUAGACGGCUUACUGGACCAUCACUGACGCUGAGGCACGAAAGCGUGGGUAGCAAACAGG